GACGUAGGGGGCGAGCGUUGUCCGGAAUUACUGGGCGUAAAGGGCGUGUAGGCGGUCUGGCAAGUCAGUGGUGAAAAACCUGGGCUCAACCGAGGUAUUGCCAUUGAAACUGCCUGGCUUGAGGGUAGAAGAGGAGUGUGGAAUUCCCGGUGUAGCGGUGAAAUGCGUAGAGAUCGGGAGGAACACCAGUGGCGAAGGCGGCACUCUGGUCUAUACCUGACGCUGAGGCGCGAAAGCCAGGGGAGCAAACAGG
rnacentral:misc_RNA from 1 species